CCUACGGGCGGCAGCAGUGGGGAAUAUUGCGCAAUGGGCGAAAGCCUGAUGCAGCGACGCCGCGUGAGGGAUGAAGGUCUUCGGAUCGUAAACCUCUGUCAGCAGGGAAGAACGGUCACUGUGCUAAUCAGCAGUGAAUUGACGGUACCUGCAAAGGAAGCACCGGAUAACUCCGUGCCAGCAGCCGCGGUAAUACGGAGGGUGCGAGCGUUAAUCGGAAUUACUGGGCGGAAAGGGCUCGUAGGCGGUAUGUCAAGUCAAGGGUGAAAUCCCCGGGCUCAACGUGGGAACUGCCUUUGAAACUGGCAAACUGGAGUGUGUGAGAGGUUAGUGGAAUUCCAGGUGUAGGGGUGAAAUGCGUAGAUAUCAGGAGGAACAUCAGUGGCGAAGGCGACUAUCUGGCACAUAACUGACGCUGAGGAGCGAAAGCGUGGGUAGCAAACAGGAUUAGAUACCCGUGUAGUC
rnacentral:rRNA from 1 species